rnacentral:rRNA from 1 species
CCUACGGGAGGCAGCAGUGAGGAAUAUUGGUCAAUGGGCGCGAGCUUGAACCAGCCAAGUCGCGUGAGGGAGGACGGCCCUACGGGUUGUAAACCUCUUUUGCCGGGGAGCAACGGGCGUCACGUGUGGCGCCACUGAGAGUACCCGGAGAAAAAGCAUCGGCUAACUCCGUGCCAGCAGCCGCGGUAAUACGGAGGAUGCGAGCGUUCUCCGGAUUUAUUGGGUUUAAAGGGUGCGUAGGCGGAUCGGUAAGUCAGUGGUAAAAUGGAGGGGCUCAACCCCUGCCCGCCAUUGAAACUGGCGCUCUUGAGUGGAAGAGAAGUACGCGGAAUGCGUGGUGUAGCGGUGAAAUGCAUAGAUAUCACGCAGAACCCCGAUUGCGAAGGCAGCAUGCCGGCUUCCGACUGACGCUGAAGCACGAAAGCGUGGGGAUCGAACAGGAUUAGAUACCCCGGUAGUC